rnacentral:lncRNA from 1 species
UAUAUAAAUAUAUAUAUAUAUAUAGCUACAGAGUUUUUAAAGCAACUUCCUUAUAUUGUUAAAGCCACAUCCCAUGUACAUACACCCUAGCUAUUCCAAUGCUCUCCCUUGCUAUUGUCCACUUGUAUUUACUCUAGCUCUUCCUUGGUGCUCUCAACUUGUAUCCAUUCUUGCUCUCUCUUGUUGCCCUCCACUUGUGUUUAUUCUAACUCUUUGUUGUUGCUCCCAACUUGUAUCCAUUCUUGCUCUCUCUUGUUGCCCUCCACUUGUGUUUAUUCUCUCUUUGUUGUUGCUCCCAACUUGUAUCCAUUCUUGCUCUCCCUUGUUGCUUUCCACUUGUGCAUACAUACUAAAUUCUCAC